GAUGAAGAACGUAGCGAAAUGCGAUACUUGGUGUGAAUUGCAGAAUCCCGUGAACCAUCGAGUCUUUGAACGCAAGUUGCGCCCGAAGCCACUAGGCCGAGGGCACGCCUGCCUGGGCGUCACACGCCGUUGCCCCCCCAUCUACUCCUUCGGGAUUGCGGGGGGGCGGAUGAUGGCCUCCCGUGCGCCUAGCCGCGCGGUUGGCAUAAAUACCAAGUCCUCGGCGACGCACGCCACGACAAUCGGUGGUUGCGAAACCUCGGUUGCCCGUCGUGUGCGUUCGUCGCGCAUCGAGGGCUCGAAAAAAUGCUCGGCUCCGGCUGGGCUUUCAACGCAACCCCAGGUCAGGCGGGGUUACCCGCUGAAUUUAAGCAUAUCAAUAAGCGGAGGA
rnacentral:misc_RNA from 1 species